AGAAAGGGACAUGCCUGAAAUGCAGAAGAGUUCUCAUUGAAUAGCUGAUUAAUACAUGACAUUUAGCUAUGCUAAACAAUUAAAAAAUAAAAUAGCACUAUUUUUGAUUUUUGCUGUGUGAAAAAUUCAAUUUAGAAAAAUGUACUAAAGAAGAAAAAGUUUUUUUUAAAUCUUAAAAAGAAAAAAAGAACUCCAUCUGACUGAAACUGAAACUCAAGGCUAAAAGCUAAGGGAACCAUUUGUAGCUUUUAAAUAGAACGUCUGUCCCUUGAUUUCUUCACUGUGAAGUACUGUUGAAGAAGUUCAAGCUCUUGAUGGAAUGAUAAGUAAUGUUGUUUUUGCUUUUUUUUUUGUCCAUUUUAAUGCCGUCUUUAAAUGCAAGCUUCGAAAACAGCAACUUUUGCCUUGUGCCUUUUAGAGAGAAGCGCCAAAUUGGUCACAGCUCAGUUCGCAUAAGUUCAGCCAGAACCAGCAGCUGGGGCUAUUUAGGUGAAAACAAAUAAAAAACAAAAUGAAAACCCCCUCAGAUAACAAAAAGGAAAACUUCUCUAAAGCAUCUGUCUC
rnacentral:lncRNA from 1 species